AGGAACGAACAACUGAAGUUUUAUUCAUGUGUAAAAUGAACUCCUUAACUACUGAAGGUUCUAGAGUCAAUAUUUAUAUACAAGGGCAAAAGUGUAAAGAACUAAUGCUAAUCUGUGAACCGACCCGGCAAAUUACAUGUGAAUAAGAAAAUGAAUGUGGGCUGCUAAGCCAAUACAAAUAAAUACAUUUCAGAUUUCUGCAUAGUCAAUGUAACGCCAAUACUCCCCCCUCUCAAGUUGGAGGGUGGGCACACACCCAACUUGGCAGCCAGAGAAUGAUGAACCCUACCAGUCAAGCACUUGGUAAAAAUGUCAGCCAAUUGGGAAGUAGUAGAAACAUGAUGUAAAAAGAUCAAACCAUCAGUUAACUUGGUCCGGAUAAAAUGACAAUCAACCUCUAUAUGUUUGGUGUGCUCGUGAAAAACAGGGUUCUUGGCUAUGUGAAUGGCAGCUUGAUUGUCGCAGAAAAUAGGGAGAGGAGUAGAGGCUUGCAAGCCCAAGUCAGACAACAAACAGACCAGUCAAGAUAGCUCAGCAACAACUUUGCUCAUGGCCCUAUAUUCAGCCUCAGCGGAGGAUAAAGAGACCAUCAGUUGUUUCUUGAACUUCCAACUAAUAAGACCACCACCCAAGAACACACAAAAACUACUAACAGAGCGGCGAGAAUCAGAGCAUGUAGCCUAAUCACUAUCUCAAUAGCCAACUAAAGAACAAUCAACAGAAUCAUUAAGAAAAAGACCAACAUCAGAAGUCCCCUUUAAGUAUCGUAAGGCAUGUAAAGCAGGAGCCAUGUGAGGGACUCUAGGUGUUUGGAGAAAUUGACUAAGGUGUUGGACAUCAAAGCAUAUAUCAGGGCAAGUAUGGUAAGAAAGUUAAGUUUCCCUAUUAGGCUGUGAUAUGUAUAAGGUCUGGGAAGAGGGUCACCACCAUCAAAGUGAAACUUAACAUUCAAAUUCAAUGGGCAUACAACAGAAGACACAACAAAACAGUCAAAAUAAACAAGUAAAUCAGUAAUAAACUUUUGUUGAUGCAAUAGAACACCAGAAGAAUGAUAAUGAAUCUGAAUACCCAAGAAAUAUUGGAGAAGCCCGAGAUCCUUUAUUCGAAAUUGGUCAUCCAGAAAACUUUUCAAGGUAGCAAUUUCAAACAUAUCAUCCCAUGUUAGAAUGAUAUCAUCUACAUAUACAGCGAGAAACACAGUAGACUGAGGUGAUUUUUUCAUAAUUAGGGAGUAAUCAUUUAAAGAAUGGAUAUAACCUCUAGAGCAAAGGGCAUGUGACAACUUAGCAUACCAUUGUCGAGAAGCCUGUCGCAAACCAUACAAAGACUUAUUCAACUUACAUACCAAAAUAUGAACAGGAGAUUCAAAAGCAACAUACAACCCCUGAGGAAGUUUCAUGUACACUUCUUCAUCCAAACCACCAUGCAAAAAGGUAUUAUUGACAUCCAAUUGGAACAACGACCAUUUCUGUUUAACUUCAUAAGCUGUAGGACAUCUAAUAGUACAUAUUUUGACUACAAGUAGAAAAGGUUUCAUAAAAGUCAAUACCCUCUAUUUGUAUAUCUUUCCUUAUGACUAGCCUAGCUUUGUAUCUUUUCACACUAUCAUCAGCUUUAUAUUUGAUUUUGUAUACCUAUUUACAACCAAUUGGUUUUUUUUACCUUUGGGUAAUUCCACAAUAUUCCAAGUCCCAUUAGCAUCCAAUGCCACAAACUCUUUCAUCAUGGCUUCCUGCUAAGCUGGAUUUGCAGUAGCCUGAGCAUAAGAGUGAGGCUCAACUGGUGUAGGUUGAGCAGCAGAAGUGGAGGUAGUAGAGGAGCAGGAAAUAGAAGGGAGAAGUUGAACUACAUAGUUUUGAAGAUGAGAAUGGAAGUGAUGACUUCUAGUAGACUUUCUAACUGCAGGUAGAGGGGAAACAAGAGCUGGUGAAAUAAAAGUAGGAGAAAAAGUAACAGAUGGAAGUGCAAGGGAAAAAUAAGGAGAAGGAGGAUGAGUAGAGGAAAAAUUAGAAGUAUAUUCAUCAAAAUAAGGAGGGAAACCAGGAGGAGAAAGAGAGGAAGGAGAGGAAAAGGAAGGAGAAUUGAGAUUGAGGGAAAAAAUAGACUCAUGGAAAAGGAUAUCUCUCGAGACAAAAAUAGACUUAUUUUUAAGGUUGUGAAGCUUGUUCCUUUUUUUUUGCCAAAGGAUAACCAAUAAAGACACAAGAGACAACCCUAAGUUGAAAUUUAUCCCUAUGACAUUUGGGUACACUUGCAUAACAAAGGCAACCAAAAGUUUUUAAAUGACUAUAAUAGGGUGCUUUGCCAUAAAGAACUUCAAAUGGGGAUUUGUUAGAUAAAACAGAGGAAGGAAAUCUAUUUAUAAAAUUAGUGGUUGUUAAAACACAGUCCCCCUAAAAUUUUGUUCGAAGUUUGGAUUGGAACAAUAGCUCUUGAUGUUUCCAAUAAGUGUCUAUAUUUUCUUUCAACAACCCCAUUUUGUUAUGGUGUAUGCGAGCAUGUAGUUUGGUGUAGGAUCCCAUUAUCAGAAAAGAAUUGGCAGGCUAAGUUUGAAGAACCAAGCUCCAAGGCAUUAUCACUUCCGAUUGUUUGUACAGAAAGAUUAAAUUGUGUUUUGACCAUGGCAAUAAAGGCUUUAAGUAAAGGCAUUGCUCUUGGAACUCAUUAAAUGUAUCCAAGUUGCCCUACUAAAGUCAUCUAUAAUUGUCAAAAAAUAUUUAGCACCAGAAUAAGUUUAGGUAUGGUAAGGCCCCCAUGUAUCAAUGUGAAUAAGUUGAAACAGAAAAGUAGAGCUGGAUGUACUAUUAGGAAAAGACAAUCUAGCUUGUUUGGCCAAAGGACAGAUAUAACAAAUAAAAGACUAUUUAGUAGACAAAUCAGAAGAAACAGAAGGUAUACAUUUCAAUUUUGCAAAAUGAAGAUGUCCCAUUCUGUUAUUCCAAAUCAUAUCAAGAUUAUUCACAUGUUGUACAGAAUGAAUAGAAGGAACAAAGGGAACGACACUUUCAUUUAGACUACAUAUAGAAGUAUUCAAAGAUGAAGGAUUCAGAGUCUGCAAAUCAUUAUUCAGAGUAUAGCAAGAUACAUUCUGCACAACAUUAUUGAAAACAGAACAAGAAGGGGAUGACGUGGGAAGGUGAUGAAGUUUGUAUAGCCCUUGGUUCAGUCUACCAAGAACCAGAAGCUUUUUCCUGGAAAGGUCCUGUAUCAAGCAGGAACAAGAAGUGAAAAUGAUUAUACUAUGAAACUGUUGAAUCAGCCUAUGCACAGAGAUGAGAUUGUGCUUGAAAGUAGGUAUGUAAAGCACUUGGUGCAAGACAAAUGAAGAAUUCAGAGUGAGUGACCAUGUGCAUGUGACUUUUACUUUGUAUCCAUUAGGUAGAGUGACCAAGUAAGGAACAGGAAGUGGAGUAAUAUCAAAAAGAAGUUCUUUAGCAGAGGUCAUGUGAUCAGUUGCUCCAGAAUCUACUAUCCAAACACUUCUAGCUAAACUAGUUAACAUGCAAGAAGAAUAAGCAGCAACACCAUUAAACUCAGGCAAAGAAGGAUUACUACCAUCAAAGUUAGCAGACCCCACAAAGUUGGGUUGAGGAUUGGAAUCAACAAGACUGGAUUGUUGCAGGAAACCUAGUAGGACUGAAAAUGAGGAGGAAACGUAGUAGGAGUAGUUGUAUUUGUAUUGAAAGACACUAGGUCAUGUGUAAAAUGAGUAUUAGGAGUCACUUGUCUCUGCUUUUCAUCUUGUAGAAGAAUGUUAUACAUAAUAUCAAGUGAAGGGAGUGGAUUCAUCAUGAGGAUGUUGCUUUUGACAGUUAUAUAAGUUUCAUUCAGGCCCAUUAAGAAUUAGUGAAUUUUAUUUUCUUCAUCUUCCUUCAACAAACCCUCCUUUGUAGCACAAAUGCAUGUAUUUGCAUGAUUUGGACCCAUAGUCCCCAAUUCAUCCCACAAUUUCUUUAACUUGUUGAAAUAAGAAGCUAUAUCAAAAGGUCCCUGACAUGUGGAAGCCAAUUCUUUUUUUAUUUCAAAUUUCUUUGUUCCAUUAAUAGUUCCAUACCUAUUGUUCAACUAUUUUCAAAUGCUUUCGGUAGUAUCAGAAUAUUGCACACUCUCAGCAAUCUUAGGUGUGAGUGAGCUGGUUAGCCAGGAUAUAACCAUGUUGUUACACCUGUCCCACUGUUUAGACUCAGGGAAACCAACAGUCGGCUUGGGAAAACUACUAUCAAUGAAAGCAAUUUUAUUCCUAGCCGACAAGGAUACAAUAAUGCAUUAAUGCUCCUUCUCCACCCACCAAAGCCACAACUAGAAAAGGGAACAACAACUAAGGACAUCCCAAGUUUAUCAGAUGAAUGAAGGAAUAACGGACUAGAAGCACGUAGUGUAAAUUCAGAAUCAGCAGUAGUACUACUAGACCCGUUAGUCAUGAUUAAAACUAGAUGGAGCAACGCUAGUAGAAAUAUACCACAGAAAUCAGCAGAAUAUACCACAGAAUUUAACUUCAAUCAACAAUGCUCAUUAACCAACAUAGUAUACUCAUUAAACUCUACACAUGCAAGUACUAGCGGAAGCAGUAUUGAAAAUAAAACGCGUUUACCAGCCUUCUUCGCAACCGGAGAAAACGGCCUUGAAAUAAAUACACGACGGCAUCGACGAGAACAAUACACCGGACUAGGUAGAGUCACAAACCCUCGUUUCUAACCUUCUCUUAAACCGGAGAAUCUCGACAAAAUAGACUAUCAAUCGGAGUGAAACCGCAACAAAUUAAAAGAAACCACUAUGAAACCAACAAAUCUUCGCCGGAAACCGAGGAAUCGACGAUGUGAGUGAAUCCCGGCAAAAUCAGACCUGGACGGAAUUGGACGAGAGUACCAUCGAUCGACUCGAGAGAUGAAGAUCUACAAUAUUCCCGGCUCUGAUACCAUGUGAAGUUUCGAUUUAUAGCAGAAAUUAAAGAAGAAAUUGUAUAUUAGGGCUUGAGAAAUGAGAGCACAAAGAGG
rnacentral:lncRNA from 1 species